UAACUUUGGGAAUACACUUUUCAUGUUGUUUGCAGUAGCAGUAAGCUCUGGAGCAGAAAGCAUUGGAACGAAGUUGCUUUCUAUAAACCCCUCACCUCAGUCACCAGCUAAAUAUGAGAUUGUUUUUGAGCCCCUAUAAAUGGCGGCACAGGUGUCACCACUCAAAGCUGAGCUCACAUCCCUUUUUCCCUCCACCGCCUGAGAACGGUGUCCCUUUCUGCUCCGCAGCUGGUCUCCAGGCCUCAGAGACAGGAAAACCCGGGUGGAAACUCCUCCCAAACACCCAGUGGAUGGAGCAAUCCAGCAGGAAUAAGCCAACAGUUGCUGCUUGGUAUUUGAACAUCAUUUAAUGAGUGCCCAGAAUUCAUCUGUAAAUGUACAUUGUUAAUUUAGGGUCUGCUAUUCAUUAAUUAGGGCUUUAGUGGCAAGUACCAUUGAGCUAUCUGCAAUGUUUAAGGUUACGUCAAGCCCUAGUAAACGGCUUGCUGAUAACAAGCCGCAUCCAUCUUCAUUACUCGGCCACUCCUGUCUGACUUCGCUCAGCAUCUUCGAAGGGCCAUGCCUCUUGGAACUGAAGAAUUAAACUUUUAUCCAAACCAGAUUCUGCUCUUUCACCUCUUCUGAUUCCUUGAGUAGUUCCCAUUUAUUUUGCCUAAAUGACAUCUGAUUACCUAACAUGGAGUGGAGCAAGGUCUUAACCUAAAACAGCCUGCAGACCUCAGUUCUCAGCUGGAGAAUUCCAGUGGGUUAACGCUAAGGAAAUCCUUACAUUUCCAUUUCAUCUGAUACCGGGCUCAGUGUAAAAGAAAUAGUUUCUGAUUUUUCUUCUCAUAAGGUUGCAGUUCCAACAGAAUUUUUUUUUUAAGCCAGAGAAAUACAGGAAAUUAACUUUAAACCUGGAGAAUAAAUGUCCUUAUUGGUUCGAGUUUACUUUUGCAGUGUUUCUCUCUCUGAAAACAUGUAUCAUUUGAGGCAAUCACCGUGCCAAAUGAAAUAAUUCCAACCAUCUAAAGAGCCCUACAUUCCGAGCCUCAGCUGUACAAACGCAGUCAUGUUGGAGGUACACGCUCAGUCACCAGAGGGGCUCAGAAACCUACACUGCUUUCCUGUGUCUAGGCCCACAGUUGAAGCAGGCAGCUAGGGCAGACAUUUAGCCAGAUACUGUUCUUAAAGAAACUAUAUAAACAGAAACUCUGCUCUAGGACCCGGAGCACUGCACGCAGACUGCUGGUAGGAAGAGUGCUCAAUUGUUCAAUUUUUAUUAUUCAAUAUUGUAUUAAAAUUUUUUUAGGCUCUUUGGGUCAAGGAGACUUUUAAAAGGUUAAAAGCUAUUCAAAAGGGUUACCAUAUCCAUAAAAGCAAAUGAGAUUAAGCCUAAAGACUGAUGGAGGGAAAACAAUAAUUUAGAUAAACUGCUACCAGCUAAAAAUGUUUUGACUUUUACCACAGAAAGGGAAUUCAGAGAUUCUUAGAUUGGUUGUCAUGUCAAAGAAAGAUUCAUUAAAUUUGAAGCAAUUAUUUUUGUGCUUUUUAUUGUUUGGUGUUUUAGGCCAGCUUGCACCUUUCUUUGGUUAUAUUCUUUAUAAUGGUUUGGGAAAUGUAAUUGCAUGGCUCCAACUUCCAUCUGUCAACUAUUGACCUUGCUGGUUGGGCAUCUGUAACAUCAGACACUGUUGUCAUGGAAAGAAUUAUGAUGUUUCAAUCGAAUGUAUUGCAAAGUUAACAAAUCCAUAACAUGAUCUGGAUCACAUGGAAGAGUUUAGAAAAUGUGUUUCAGAGACCUCAGGGAA